GUAGGUGGCAAGCGUUGUCCGGGAAUUAUUGGGGCGUAAAGCGCGCGCAGGCGGUCCUUUAAGGUCUGAUGUGAAAGCCCGCGGGCUCAACCGUGGAGGGUCAUUGGAAACUGGGGGACUUGAGUACAGAAGAGGAAAGCGGAAUUCCAAGUGUAGCGGUGAAAUGCGUAGAGAUUUGGAGGAACACCAGUGGCGAAGGCGGCUUUCUGGUCUGUAACUGACGCUGAGGCGCGAAAGCGUGGGGAGCAAACAGGAUUAGAUACCCUGGUAGUCCACGCCGUAAACGAUGAUUGCUAAGUGUUAGGGGGUUUCCGCCCCUUAGUGCUGCAGCUGACGCAUUAAGCACUCCGCCUGGGGAGUACGGCCGCAAAGGCUGA
rnacentral:rRNA from 1 species